UCCUGCUACCAGCAAUUUGAGUGAGCCGUCUUGGAACUGGAUCACGUAACCGUUGCCAAGCCUCAGGAGACUUCUCAUGACGUUGCAGCUUGCAGCUUGAACCACUAAGCUUCUCCCAGGUUCCUGACCCUCAGAAAUUGCAUGAGACAAUAAAUAUCUGUUGUUUUAAGAUGUUAAAUUUUGAUUUAGAUUGUUAUUCUACAAUAUAUAAUUAUUACUGUGAUUGAAGAUGCCUAGCUUCCACAAACUGGCAGUAUAGUUGGAAAAGUAGGUUACAUGCCCUAAAAACAAACAAACAAACUAUGGAAGUUUCUAAAUAAUGUAGCAGAUGAAGAGAACUGCUGUGCAGUGGAAAUACUACAUGGUAUCAUCAUGGUCCUUGUGAACUGAGUACUGAGUCCUUUGUGAAGUAAGUCCUGAAGCUGAGUUUAUGGGGCAAUACUAGAUUGGUGGAAUAUAUAUAAAUGUUUUUUUUUCUUUUAUCCCCCAAAAGAGUACUGUGGAUUUAUCAAUAACUAGUAAUUUAAAGAAAGAAACCAGACUUAUGAGAGUUUUAAAAACUGAUAGAAUUUGGAAAGGUGGAAAUAUUGAGAAGACUAUAAAAAUCUCAAGAUAUGUCUUUGGGAAUUUUCUUCAUAGCUGUGAGAUGUCUUCAGAAGCCACUGAUGGAAUUAGUCUGUGAACCUGGAUCUUUAUGUGGCUCAUUGAGACUGCAUAUAACAAUGUUAGGGUCUGUAAACAAGUCAAGAUGGCACCUGGCAUUUUGCCAGAGGGAGUGGUUUGUGAAGUAACUCCAGCGAGCCAUUAAGUGUGGAGAUUCCUUAUUGGUUGACUGUUGUAUGUAGUUUAUGUUAAUUAAGAUAAGCUGUGUGGAAUGUAUAUAUACCCCUCCUGUCCUACAAUAAAUGACUCCCACUCCUACUGUAUCAAUGUACACAAGUUGCUCGUCACCCGCUGCCCCCCCCCCCCCUGGACUGCGGCAUAACAAGCCACCAAUGCAGGCAGUUCAUCAGUCAGAUCAAUAAAAAAAAAUUGUACUUGAAAUAGCCAAUUAAUCAAUGUGCAAGCUGACUUUUCUUGGUUUUAAGGUUAAUAUUGUUCUAACCAUUCUUUAUUAUUGUAUAUUGUGUUUUCUUUUAACUGUACCAGAGACGGGCCUCUGUUUAUCAUUUGUUGAAAUAACCCAAUGCUGGAAAAGUUGGUUAGAUUAGAGGUUGAAAGCCUGAUUCAAGUUAUAACAAUUGGAGAUCCAUUUCCAGGAACUGAGAGGUCAGCAACUCAGUGGGUACUAUAGUUUGAAUCUUGCAUGUUCCCAAAAGGUCCUCGUGUUACAGGUUUGGUCCCAAGAAGGGUGCUGUUGGAAGGCAAUUGAAUCUUAAAGGGGUGGGACCUAGUGGAAGGGCCUUAGUUCAUUGGGGAUAUGCCAUCAAAGGAGAUUGUGGGA
rnacentral:lncRNA from 1 species